GCAAGUCGAACGAUGAACUCCGGCUUGCUGGGGGGAUUAGUGGCGAACGGGUGAGUAACACGUGAGUAACCUGCCCUGGACUCUGGGAUAACUCCGAGAAAUCGGUGCUAAUACCGGAUAGGACCUUUCACCGCAUGGUGGGGGGUGGAAAGUUUUUCGGUUUGGGAUGGACUCGCGGCCUAUCAGCUUGUUGGUGAGGUAAUGGCUCACCAAGGCGUCGACGGGUAGCCGGCCUGAGAGGGUGACCGGCCACACUGGGACUGAGACACGGCCCAGACUCCUACGGGAGGCAGCAGUGGGGAAUAUUGCACAAUGGGCGCAAGCCUGAUGCAGCAACGCCGCGUGCGGGAUGACGGCCUUCGGGUUGUAAACCGCUUUUAGUAAGGAAGAAGGGGAGCUUGCUCCUUGACGGUACUUGCAGAAAAAGGACCGGCUAACUACGUGCCAGCAGCCGCGGUAAUACGUAGGGUCCGAGCGUUGUCCGGAAUUAUUGGGCGUAAAGAGCUCGUAGGCGGUUUGUCGCGUCUGCUGUGAAAUCCCGAGGCUCAACCUCGGGUCUGCAGUGGGUACGGGCAGACUGGAGUGCGGUAGGGGAGAAUGGAAUUCCUGGUGUAGCGGUGGAAUGCGCAGAUAUCAGGAGGAACACCGAUGGCGAAGGCAGUUCUCUGGCCCGUAACUG
rnacentral:rRNA from 1 species